rnacentral:misc_RNA from 1 species
AAGUCGUAACAAGGUCUCCGUUGGUGAACCAGCGGAGGGAUCAUUAUCGAGUUUACAACUCCCAAACCCUAUGUGAACCUUACCAUUUGUUGCUUCGGCGGAACGCCCUGGGAACGCCUUGUGCAGACCCAGACUCAGGCGCCCGCCGGAGGCCCCCAAACUCUUGUUUUUACCAGUGGUAUUUUCUGAGUGAUACAAGCAAAAUAAAUUAAAACUUUCAACAACGGAUCUCUUGGUUCUG